rnacentral:lncRNA from 1 species
CUAACAUUAUUUUAUAUUAAAAAUAAUUCAUAUGUGGUGGUAGAUAUUUGUUCUUGGUUUCAGCUUCCUAAAAUAGGCCUUCCAUCCAUGAAUGCCACUUUGGGGAACCCACAGGCUAAAACCUCGAUUGAUCUCCAUUAACUUGCGAUAUAUUCAUAAUUGCCAUCUGAAGUCUUCUUCUGCGAGGGAAAAAAUAUCGGUUGCUUAAUUGUUGAAGUCAAAUUCUCCUCCUUUUGACCACAUUCAAUGAAAUUAAACUCUCCAACUUUUGCAGUUUUGCUCACAUAUUGGAUUUGAUAACAGUCAUUUCAAGCAAUGAUAUCAAAUUGCUUUGCUUCUUAACUAACUAAAAUUAUAAUAUAACAGUAAACUUGCUUAAAAAGUGGGAGGAGGAGUAUUGGUGAAACUAUCUUCAACUCUUCUUCUAGUAAAAAGUACGUUUAGCGCCAAAAUUAUUCUGCACAAGAAAUAAC